AACGUAGGAGACAAACGUUAUCCGGAGUUACUGGGCGUAAAGGGCUCGUAGGCGGCCAACUAAGUCGGAUGUGAAAUCCCCAAGCUUAACUUGGGAACUGCAUCCGAUACUGGAUGGCUUGAAUCCGGGAGAGGGAUGCAGAAUUCCAGGUGUAGCGGUGAAAUGCGUAGAUAUCUGGAGGAACACCGGUGGCGAAGGCGGCAUCCUGGACCGGCAUUGACGCUGAGGCGCGAAAGCCAGGGGAGCAAACGGG
rnacentral:rRNA from 1 species